rnacentral:rRNA from 1 species
UUGUGCUAAUACCGAAUGUGCCCCUUCGGGGGAAAGAUUUAUCGCCAUUAGAGCGGGCCCGCGUCUGAUUAGCUAGUUGGUGAGGUAACGGCUCACCAAGGCGACGAUCAGUAGCUGGUCUGAGAGGAUGACCAGCCACACUGGGACUGAGACACGGCCCAGACUCCUACGGGAGGCAGCAGUGGGGAAUCUUGCGCAAUGGGCGAAAGCCUGACGCAACCAUGCCGCGUGAAUGAUGAAGGUCUUAGGAUUGUAAAAUUCUUUCACCGGGGACGAUAAUGACGGUACCCGGAGAAGAAGCCCCGGCUAACUUCGUGCCAGCAGCCCGCGGUAAUACGAAAGGGG